GUCAACAUUAUGCUAUAUUUACAUGAGAAAUUCAUGACCAUAGAUCAAUCACCAGCAAUUAAUCUCAUCAAUAAAUCUCUGUUUCAACAUGUACAUCUGUAGAAACCAAAGAGUGAAAUUCAGAUCAAUAACAUGUACUCCCUCCGUUCUUAAAUACUUGUCUUUCUAGGGAUUUCAACAAGUGACUACAUACUACACAAAAUGAGUAAAUCUACACUUUAAAAUAUGUCUACAUACAUCCAUAUAUUGAGUCUAUUUGAAAUGACAAGUAUUUGGGAACGGAGGGAGUACAAUUCACCAGGUACUGUUUCAAUGCUUCAAACACAGAGCAAGAACCCUCACUGACGGUGGAGUUUAGAUUGAUCAUCUAUUGCUACGGUCUCCGAACAUUAUAUAGAUAAUGAACAGGGCACCACGCAAGAACUGAUGGCUCAGCUGGGUAAAAGCAUUAGCUCUCACAUAAUAUGGGAGUCGUAGAAAGGAAAACAAAGAGUAAAAUAACAUAAUAAUACACAUUGGUGCUCAGAUUCUAUGGGUGUAUAGAUGUCGUUCAUAGGGAUUUUCCCAUCAGUACGAGGAAUGUUCUAUAAUCACUGCACCAAAAAAGGAUCAAUUCCAAAAAAUAAGAAAGAGAAGAGCUUAGAAUAUGGGGGCGAGCGUAACCCAACAUCCAUCUGUACGGAUUAGUGCUCUAAGCGCCACCUGAAUAAUCUCAGGAGCAUUGUAAACUCUGGAUGCAAGAACAUCAGCUAAAACAUUCAAACUGUGCACCCACAUAGAAAAAAAUCAAAUAAAAGAAAACAAAGCACAGGGACAUUAUUCAUAAGGCUCAGACAUCCAAGGAAGGAAUUAGCAGCAUUAGCUCUCAAGCCUGGCUGGGCGAAAGCUCUUAGGCGGCAUCUGCGAAUGUUUUGAGAAACAAGCCUUAUAUUUAUCUUCAUCGCCAUAUUCCCAAACUAACCAAAUCAUAUUGACAACUUAAAAGCCACUGGAAAAAUAAUUUAACCACAAUAACAAGCUCUAUAGAGUGACCAACUAAAAUACAGACACAGGUUACAAUUAACACACAAAAAAAAGAUCAAACAGAGAAUCCCUCAGAGACCCAUUUAAAAUCAUGCACACAGCAGAACCAAACCAGGUGCAAAUGGACAUUCCAGCCCUGCCCAAACCACAAAGGUUAUAGCCAAAGGAGGACACCUGCAGUGGUAAGAAACAGCUGUUGUUUACAGUGUCAUACGGCACUUCCUGGUCAAAGAAUCUUCACCGGGAUAAUUUAAGUUUGAUCAAAAUUAACACUAAUGAAAUAAAUAAAAGCAUUCGCCAUUGGUUUUGUGCCACAGAAAGCCGCAAAAAUAUCGUCAUUCAGAAUCAGACGGUAAUUCCAACAUAAAGCUGAUCAUCAUAGGCUUCAACUACUUUGCAGGUCUCUGGUGUAAUUGUAAAAGCAAAUACAUAAGAAAACAUGGCGUAUCAUCAGAAUAUAAAAGCCUUCUCAUCCACAGGAAAAUAGGCACUGUAUCAGAAGGUGUCCUAAGAUUGAAUAAGGUUUCAUCACAUGAUACCAACGAAAUCAUGCAGAACAUAAAUAAUUAAAACUAAUCUCUAAUGGAUUCAGUUGCAAAGAUGACAUCACACAGGCAGCUCAUGCCACCCCUCGGAUCAAGUGUUGGAUUAUGCAUCAAUACCUCCUCAUAAUCCAAAGAGAUAACCUAAAUUGAAAAGCAAAACAACAGCCAAAAAGAUCAAAGAAAGAUAUAGUUGCUCAGUAGUGGCAAUGUUUAAUUGGUUCGAUUCUGCCAGCAAUGUCGUCAAUGCUUUCAGAAGAGGGAGCUUGUUAUCCUCAUUGCAACUACACUCUCCAAAGGAAACAGACACUGACAAACAAUGAACGGCAGAUUAAAAAUAAAGGCUAUCAGAUGGCUCGGUUCAGCGGGAUAAUCGGCAUACAAAACAACUCCUGAGAGAAGACCUGUGAUUUGGUCUGUUGAGCUUGAAUAUUUGCAAAUCGUCACUGACAUCACCCAAGAAAAUCAAACCAACUAUUUGAGUUUCAUUUGCUGAGUCAGAUUUAAUAGUAUGUCAAUCAGCACAGAUCCACCUAAGCAGACCCUAAGACUGGGGCGACAAAUUUGAAAUCAUCAUCCUCACAACUACAGAGAUCUGCUAACGUAUGUACCUUUUGCUAUACAAAAUUAUUUAAGUCUAAAUGAUUUCAAUGGAUAAUGUGUAAAAAGAAGACUCGGAAUAUGGGUGGUGAUAUAGCAGGAUGGUCGGCAAGGCAAAUAAAUGCCAGUUACGACGAACGAGACCAAAUAUCAAUCUUCACUGUCCUCUACAACAAAUUCAUACAUGAGGAUACAAAGAUAUAACGAACAAACAAACAAACAAACACACAGAUUGUGCAAUUCUCGGGGAGAAGAUAAGGUUGUAAGGUCAUCAGAUAGGAGCGAAAGACUAUUUUUGUUCAAGUAAUCACGAUUUGAUCAUAUGAACUAUGCACUUGGGAUCAUCAUUCGACCUUCGCAAACCAAUAAUUUCAAGAGAAAAAAGCGACAAGAAAAAAUACAAAAGGAUUCAAGGGAUCGUGAUGCCUCAGAAGGAAGGCAGUAGGUUAUGUAAUCACUAGUGAUUCAUUGAGAAAGGUUCACACUAAUCAUCAGCAGCAGCACGAACCCACAAAAUCAACAUCAAAAAGGACAAAGGGAUGAGCAGCAUCAUUGGCCUCAUAGAGAAGAUUAGAUCGUUCCACAUGAAGAAACUUCGGACAUAUGCUUGUCAUAAUUAAUUUAAUCCUCGGCCAGCGAUAAGAAACGAGAAAUAAAACAAGAAGAGCAGCUGCAUGGGGACGGCGAUUCUAAUCGAGAAGAGGACUCGGAAUAUGGGUGGUGAUAUUGCAGGAUGGUCGGCAAGGCAAGGAGAUUGCCAGUUACGACGAACGAGACCAAAUAUCAAUCGUCACCGUCCUCAGGACAGAUGCAAGAUCCACACGGGAAGACCAAAACCGAAAACGGGUUGCAAAACAAGAAGGCAGAUCGAGAUAUGAUGGGUCAGAGGGUGAGGACGGGGGAAGAACCUGUUUGCUGGGAUGGAUGGGAGGUG
rnacentral:rRNA from 1 species